GAAAACAAAAAACCAGAAAUUCAAAUUUGUACUCUUUUUCUUUGCCAGGCAGUCAGCUGUUCCACAAAAUCAGAUCUAUGCCGAAACGUAUUAAAAGUCAACUACUUCCAUAUUGUGUGCCCAAAUUAUUAUCUAAAUUUAUGGAAAGUAAGGUAAAUAUUUAAUAACUUGGAAAAUUGUUACUCAAAUUUCAUAUAUGUAUAUGCAUAAGAAGUGUUUUACAGAUAUGUAUUUAUACCCAAUUGGCAGAGUUUUGCAAUUUUGUACCCCGACCUCAAAAACCACUUCUGUUUUUUGUUUUUGUUUUAACGUAACAUCAGGUAAUUUGUUUUUACAUUUUUUCGUACAAAGGCCAGAAUGGAAACGCCCAUAUUGAACUAUCUAAAAAAAUUACAGAAAAACUAUCAGCAAUCAUUCCUCUCCGGAAAAUUAAAAAAUGCGUUGGUUUUUUAUUUAGUUACGACCACCACUUUAUUUUCAUUUUGUGUUUUUUGUAAGUUUAGUUCAUUUUCAUUAAGUUUGCUCAAAUCAUGUUCGAUUAAAUUACAAAGUGCUUAAACCUAAAA